rnacentral:rRNA from 1 species
GACGAACGCUGGCGGCGUGCCUAACACAUGCAAGUCGAGCGGGGUUGACUUCAGCACUGAGCAUUUUGGCAUAGGGCCCAGCGCAUAUGCAGAAACGACCUUGAUGUGAAAAGAUUUCAUAAGAGGUUUCUGCAUCACGCGUAUAUAGUGCCAAACACAAAACCGAAGGGUAUGAGUUGCACAUGGGUGGAUACACAGAAAACUGAGGAGCUGAAAUGUUGAGUGCUGGAGGCAACCUAGCGGCGGACGGGUGAGUAACGCGUGAGCAAUCUGCCUCAUACAGGGGGAUAACAGGUGGAAACACUUGCUAAUACCGCAUAAGACCACAGCGCUGCAUGGCGCAGGGGUCAAAGGAGUAAGAUCCGGUAUGAGAUGAGCUCGCGUCCCAUUAGCUAGUUGGCGGGGUAACGGCCCACCAAGGCGACGGAUGGGGUACCGAACCUGAGAGGGUGAUCGGCCACACUGGGA